CGGUCUGUAGCUCAGGUGGUAGAGCAGCUGACUCUUAAUCAGCGGGUCCAGGGUUCGAGUCCCUGCAGACCGACCA
rnacentral:tRNA from 3 species